AUUGAACGCUGGCGGCAUGCUUUACACAUGCAAGUCGAACGGCAGCGCGGGCUUCGGCCUGGCGGCGAGUGGCGAACGGGUGAGUAAUAUAUCGGAACGUACCCAAGAGUGGGGAGUAACGUAGCGAAAGUUACGCUAAUACCGCAUACGAUCUAAGGAUGAAAGACAGGGGAGUCGCAAGACCUUGUGCUCCUGGAGCGGCCGAUAUCUGAUUAGCUAGUUGGUGGGGUAAAGGCCCACCAAGGCAACGAUCAGUAGCUGGUCUGAGAGGACGACCAGCCACACUGGAACUGAGACACGGUCCAGACUCCUACGGGAGGCAGCAGUGGGGAAUUUUGGUACAAUGGGGGCGAACCCUGAUCCAGCAAUGCCGCGUGAGUGAUGAAGGCCCUAGGGUUGUAAAGCUCUUUUACCAGGGAUGAUAAUGACAGUACCUGGAGAAUAAGCUCCGGCUAACUCCGUGCCAGCAGCCGCGGUAAU
rnacentral:rRNA from 1 species